AUUGAACGCUGGCGGCAGGCCUAACACAUGCAAGUCGAACGGUAGCACAGAGAGCUUGCUCUCGGGUGACGAGUGGCGGACGGGUGAGUAACGUCUGGGAAACUGCCCGAUGGAGGGGGAUAACUACUGGAAACGGUAGCUAAUACCGCAUAACGUCGCAAGACCAAAGUGGGGGACCUUCGGGCCUCACACCAUCCGAUGUGCCCAGAUGGGAUUAGCUAGUAGGUGGGGUAAUGGCUCACCUAGGCGACGAUCCCUAGCUGGUCUGAGAGGAUGACCAGCCACACUGGAACUGAGACACGGUCCAGACUCCUACGGGAGGCAGCAGUGGGGAAUAUUGCACAAUGGGCGCAAGCCUGAUGCAGCCAUGCCGCGUGUAUGAAGAAGGCCUUCGGGUUGUAAAGUACUUUCAGCGGGGAGGAAGGCGGUGAAGUUAACAGCUUCACCGAUUGACGUUACCCGCAGAAGAAGCACCGGCUAACUCCGUGCCAGCCGCCGCAGUAA
rnacentral:rRNA from 1 species